CGUAACAAGGUUUCCGUAGGUGAACCUGCGGAAGGAUCAUUAA
rnacentral:rRNA from 3 species